UACGUAGGGUGCGAGCGUUAAUCGGAAUUACUGGGCGUAAAGCGUGCGCAGGCGGUUCGUUGUGUCGGUGGUGAAAGCCCCGGGCUUAACCUGGGAAUGGCCAUGGAAACUGGCGAACUGGAGUGUGGCAGAGGGGGGUGGAAUUCCGCGUGUAGCAGUGAAAUGCGUAGAGAUGCGGAGGAGCACCGAUGGCGAAGGCAGCCCCCUGGGCUAGCACUGACGCUCAGGCACGAAAGCGUGGGGAGCAAACAGG
rnacentral:rRNA from 1 species